AAUUUCUGGACCUGGAAAGCAGUAAGACCUGAGACACAGGGAUUGGGUGCCUGCUCUGCUGUCCCAUGGGUCUCUGUCUGACUCCUCAGGGUCACUUGAUUCAAAACAGAAAGUGAAGCUUACAGUGUGGGGUGACCCUAAGAUCUUCAGAAGGCAAAGGAUUAAGUCCAGAUAACAAAUGAAGGCAUGAUCAAAGAUAAAUCCAGGACACCAAGAUCUGGUAGCUGGAAAAAAACAGCCAACAUGAUUUUACCAUCUAGGGAAGCCCAAGAAUACUGAAGUGGGUAGCCUGUCCCUUCUCCAGGGGAUCUCCUGACCCACCACACAGAUUUCUAAUUUCCCCAGUAGGUCAUGUGCUCUACGAAGGCAGAGACUGUGUCCUGUCCCUCUUUAUACUCCUGGCACCUAGGCCAGUGUUGGCAACAUAGCAGCCACCUCGUAAAUACUCACUGAGUUGAACUCCCCCACAGGGUGAAAACGGGGUGGGGUAGGGACAAUCUACCUUCAGCUGGAGAAGUUACUCUUCUGUGCUCACAGUUUUCAUUGCUCUCCUGAAACUGAGCGUAAUCAUCCCUUAGAUCCAUCACACCUGCAAACUGUCUUCACUGAUGAAAGUGCCUUUAAUUUCACUACAGAAAACUUGCACGAACUCCAAGUGCCACGUAGCCUAAAUAGACUUUUGCCCGAGUUGUUUCUCAGGGACUUGGAGUCAGUUGUGUCCAGUUCAGCUGCAGCCCAUUAAGGUUGGUUAGGACCACUGACCCUCCAACUAGGCAUGGCUGGUGUUUGCUCAGUAACAUUUGACAUCAGAGGGCCCCAAACUCCAUCCUCAAACUGAGCUGUUGUGCGUCGCUAAGUCGUGUCCAACUCUUUAUGAACUAUGGACUGUAGCCUGUCAGGCUUCUCUGUCCAUGGGAUGUCCCAGGCAGGAAUACUGGAGUGGUUUGCCAUUUCCUUCUCCAGGAGAUCUUCCUGACUCAAGGAUCGAACUUGCAUCUCUUGUGUCUCCUUCAUUGGCAGGCACACUCCUUACCACUGCACCACCUAUGCUAACAACACUAUUUUCUGAGCCUGUGUCAUGUGAGGAAGCCCACAGCUUAGAUGCGUCUGUACAG
ensembl:lncRNA